rnacentral:rRNA from 1 species
GACGUAGGGCGCGAGCGUUGUCCGGAAUUAUUGGGCGUAAAGAGCUUGUAGGCGGUUUGUCGCGUCUGCUGUGAAAUUUCGGGGCUCAACCCCGAACUUGCAGUGGGUACGGGCAGACUAGAGUGUGGUAGGGGAGACUGGAAUUCCUGGUGUAGCGGUGAAAUGCGCAGAUAUCAGGAGGAACACCGGUGGCGAAGGCGGGUCUCUGGGCCGAUACUGACGCUGAGGAGCGAAAGCGUGGGGAGCGAACAGG